rnacentral:rRNA from 1 species
GACGAACGCUGGCGGCGUGCUUAACACAUGCAAGUCGAACGGAAAGGCCCUGCUUUUGUGGGGUGCUCGAGUGGCGAACGGGUGAGUAACACGUGAGUAACCUGCCCUUGACUUUGGGAUAACUUCAGGAAACUGGGGCUAAUACCGGAUAGGAGCUCCUGCUGCAUGUUGGGGGUUGGAAAGUUUCGGCGGUUGGGGAUGGACUCGCGGCUUAUCAGCUUGUUGGUGGGGUAGUGGCUUACCAAGGCUUUGACGGGUAGCCGGCCUGAGAGGGUGACCGGCCACAUUGGGACUGAGAUACGGCCCAGACUCCUACGGGAGGCAGCAGUGGGGAAUAUUGCACAAUGGGCGGAAGCCUGAUGCAGCAACGCCGCGUGCGGGAUAACGGCCUUCGGGUUGUAAACCGCUUUCGCCUGUGACGAAGCGUGAGUGACGGUAAUGGGUAAAGAAGCACCGGCUAACUACGUG